rnacentral:rRNA from 1 species
GUUAUAGGGUCAAGUGAAUAAGAGCAUGUGGUGGAUGCCUUGGCGAUGAUAGGCGACGAAGGACGUGAUAGCCUGCGAUAAGCUUCGGGGAGCUGGCAAAUAAGCUUUGAUCCGGAGAUUUCCGAAUGGGGAAACCCACCUAGCAGUAGGUAUCGCAUGAUGAAUACAUAGUCAUGCGAGGCGAACCGGGUGAACUGAAACAUCUCAGUAGCUCGAGGAAAAGACAUCAACCGAGAUUCCGAAAGUAGUGGCGAGCGAAAUUGGAAGAGCCUGUUAGUGAUAGCACAAGACUUAACGGAACGUUCUGGAAAGGACGGCCAUAGUGGGUGAUAGCCCCGUACGUGAAAAGACCUGUGUGGUACUGAGCUAACGAAAAGUAGGGCGGGACACGAGAAAUCCUGUCUGAAUAUGGGGGGACCAUCCUCCAAGGCUAAAUACUCAUCAUCGACCGAUAGUGAACAAGUACCGUGAGGGAAAGGCGAAAAGAACCCCGGGAGGGGAGUGAAAUAGAUCCUGAAACCGCAUGCUUACAAAAAGUAGGAGCCUCGAAAGGGGUGACUGCGUACCUUUUGUAUAAUGGGUCAGCGACUUACAUUCAGUGGCAAGCUUAACCGAGUAGGGAAGGCGUAGGGAAACCGAGUCCGAAUAGGGCGAUUCAGUCGCUGGGUGUAGACCCGAAACCAAGUGAUCUAUCCAUGGCCAGGAUGAAGGUGCCGUAACAGGUACUGGAGGUCCGAACCGACUAAUGUUGCAAAAUUAGCGGAUGAGCUGUGGAUAGGGGUGAAAGGCUAAACAAACUUGGAAAUAGCUGGUUCUCUCCGAAAACUAUUUAGGUAGUGCCUCAAGUAUUACCGUCGGGGGUAGAGCACUGUUUUGGCUAGGGGGUCAUGGCGACUUACCAAACCAAGGCAAACUCCGAAUACCGACGAGUACAGCUUGGGAGACAGAGCACCGGGUGCUAACGUCCGGACUCAAGAGGGAAACAACCCAGACCGCCAGCUAAGGUCCCUAAAAUUGGCUAAGUGGGAAACGAAGUGGGAAGGCUAAAACAGUCAGGAUGUUGGCUUAGAAGCAGCCAUCAUUUAAAGAAAGCGUAAUAGCUCACUGAUCGAGUCGUCCUGCGCGGAAGAUGUAACGGGGCUAAGCCAGUUACCGAAGCUGCGGAUUUGCAAUUUAUUGCAAGUGGUAGGAGAGCGUUCUGUAAGCCUGUGAAGGUGUCUUGUAAAGGAUGCUGGAGGUAUCAGAAGUGCGAAUGCUGACAUGAGUAGCGUUAAAGGGGGUGAAAAGCCCCCUCGCCGUAAGCGCAAGGUUUCCUACGCAACGUUCAUCGGCGUAGGGUGAGUCGGCCCCUAAGGUGAGGCAGAGAUGCGUAACUGAUGGGAAACAGGUCAAUAUUCCUGUACCGAUUACAAGUGCGAUGUGGGGACGGAUCUUAAUAGGUUAUCCGGCGGUUGGAUGUGCCGGUUUAGACAGAUGUAGGCGACACGUAGGCAAAUCCGCGUGUCAUAUACCGAGGCUGUUGAUCGAGCGAGCUUGCUCGCGAAGUAACUGAACGAGGUCCCAGGAAAAGCCACUAAGCUUCAGCUUGUAAUUGACCGUACCGCAAACCGACACUGGUGCGCGAGAUGAGUAUUCUAAGGCGCUUGAGAGAACUCNNGGUGGCUGCGACUGUUUAUUAAAAACACAGCACUCUGCAAACACGAAAGUGGACGUAUAGGGUGUGACGCCUGCCCGGUGCUGGAAGAUUAAUUGAUGGGGUGCAAGCUCUUGAUCGAAGUCCCAGUAAACGGCGGCCGUAACUAUAACGGUCCUAAGGUAGCGAAAUUCCUUGUCGGGUAAGUUCCGACCUGCACGAAUGGCGUAACGAUGGCCACACUGUCUCCUCCAGAGACUCAGCGAAGUUGAAAUGUUUGUGAUGAUGCAAUCUCCCCGCGGAAAGACGGAAAGACCCCAUGAACCUUUACUGUAGCUUUGUAUUGAAUUUUGAACAGAUCUGUGUAGGAUAGGUGGGAGGCUUUGAAGCAGGGUCGCUAGAUCUUGUGGAGCCAACGUUGAAAUACCACCCUGGUGUGUUUGAGGUUCUAACCUAGGUCCCUUAUCGGGAUCGGGGACAGUGCAUGGUAGGCAGUUUGACUGGGGCGGUCUCCUCCCAAAGUGUAACGGAGGAGUUCGAAGGUACGCUAGGUACGGUCGGACAUCGUGCUAAUAGUGCAAUGGCAUAAGCGUGCUUAACUGCGAGACUGACAAGUCGAGCAGAUGCGAAAGCAGGACAUAGUGAUCCGGUGGUUCUGUAUGGAAGGGCCAUCGCUCAACGGAUAAAAGGUACUCUGGGGAUAACAGGCUGAUACCGCCCAAGAGUUCAUAUCGACGGCGGUGUUUGGCACCUCGAUGUCGGCUCAUCUCAUCCUGGGGCUGUAGCCGGUCCCAAGGGUAUGGCUGUUCGCCAUUUAAAGAGGUACGUGAGCUGGGUUUAAAACGUCGUGAGACAGUUUGGUCCCUAUCUUCCGUGGGCGCUGCAGAUUUGAGGAAGCCUGCUCCUAGUACGAGAGGACCGGAGUGGACGCACCUCUGGUGUACCGGUUGUCACGCCAGUGGCAUUGCCGGGUAGCUAAGUGCGGAAGAGAUAACCGCUGAAAGCAUCUAAGCGGGAAACUCGUUCCAAGAUGAGAUCUGCCGGGGCCUUGAGCCCCCUAAAGAGUCGUUCAAGACCAGGACGUUGAUAGGUCAGGUGUGGAAGCGCAGUAAUGCGUUAAGCUAACUGAUACUAAUUGCUCGUGAGGCUUGACCCUAUAACUUUG